GGGCCCGCACAAGCGGUGGAGCAUGUGGUUUAAUUCGAAGCAACGCGAAGAACCUUACCAGGUCUUGACAUCCUUUGAUCACCUCAGAGAUGAGGAAUUCCCUUCGGGGACAAAGAGACAGGUGGUGCAUGGUUGUCGUCAGCUCGUGUCGUGAGAUGUUGGGUUAAGUCCCGCAACGAGCGCAACCCUUAUUGUUAGUUGCCAUCAUUCAGUUGGGCACUCUAGCGAGACUGCCGGUGACAAACCGGAGGAAGGUGGGGAUGACGUCAAAUCAUCAUGCCCCUUAUGACCUGGGCUACACACGUGCUACAAUGGACAGUACAAUGAGCUGCGACCUUGCAAAGGGAAGCGAAUCUCAUAAAAGCUGUUCUCAGUUCGGAUUGUAGGCUGCAACUCGCCUACAUGAAGCCGGAAUCGCUAGUAAUCGCAGAUCAGCACGCUG
rnacentral:rRNA from 1 species